GUGAGGGCGGCGGGGCGGCCCCGGCGCCGCGGGUGCGGCGCGCCCGACGCCCCUCACCUGGAUGCGGGACUCGGGGAUCUGGGUGGCGUCCGCCAGCUUCUCCCGCAGAUAGAUGUCCGGGUACAUGGUGUCCUGGAAAACCAGCUCCAGCGUCUCCAGCUGCGCCGCCGUGAAGCUCGUCCGCUUCCGACGCUGCGAGGCCGCCGGCGCCCCCUCCGACGGCUCGGCCGAGGGAAGCGCCCUGAGGGCGGGCGAGGCCGGGCCGGGCCCACCGCCCCCCGCCCACCUGCCCGCGGGGAAGGCGGGCGGCUCCGCCGGGGACCCCCCGAAGCGCAGCGCGGCCAUGGCAGCGGCGAGCGGGGGUCCAGACCGUGCCCCGCCCUUUAUAGCCGGGGAAGGGGGCUCGGCGGGGGCGGGGGUUCGAGGGGGCGGCACUGCCCCGCGGGGAAGGUGAGCGCUGGGGCCCCGCCGGGCUGGGGGCCGGGAGGUGCCCGGCUGGGGCGGCCUCUGCCUCGCUCAGCCCAGAGGACUCGGCGGUGGCCGGGCACCGCAGCCCUAGGCCUGCCCGACGGGGUGGGUGAUGGCCGGCAGCCCUCGGCUCCCUGCGCGGAAUAUGGACAGCAGAAGGGAGAGGGGAGAGGGAGCUUUGUAUCUGUCCUUUGUGGGAAAAAGAACUUGGUGUUGGGAGGCUGGCACCCCGCAUAGGACUGUCCCCCAGCUGGGUUAUUUCUGAUAAAACAUCUGGGCUGACAGGGUUAUGGAGUUCCCUCCCUCCAUCUACUGGUAUGGAGGUAGAUGUCCUCCAGCAGCUGUCUGCUUUGGCGAGUGAUGAACCUUGCAUGGUGUGAGACGUAAAGCAAACAGAAGUUAUCUCUUCCCGUGGCUGCGGCUGCUCUGCUUGCAGUGCUUUGCUGCCAGCUGUGCGCCGGUGUAUGGCCUCCUGCUGUGCCUGCUGCUGCAAAAACAUCUCUUUCUUUUUAAGAUGCAAGUUAAAUGCACCUGGAGAGCCAGAGCCAGACGAGGCAGAGGCAGCCGCGGGUGUCAUCGCCUUUCCCACCCACUUGCUAAUGCCUGUGUACUCCUGCUCAUCGCACAGUUCUGCCGUGACUGUUUCCCAGCCCACACACUCUGACCAACACCAAGGCACUUAAAAAACGCAAAGCAUGUGAAAGAAAGAGGAUUCAUGUCUCCCUGUCUUUAAGAAGAAAACAGUUCUUCAGCAGCAAUUCCUCUCAAUCAUCAGCAAGAUAGAGACCAGAAGUUUACAGGGCUGGGCAGUGAACCAGAUCUGGGAAUAAAGCCAGGAGAAAGAGAGUGAGAGAAGUAUAAAAGGAAGGAGGCUGCAUUUCGCUACAAGCCAGUAUUGCCACUGAAACCCCCUCAUACCAAAAGACAGCCUUCUGCAGUGAUGGAGAGAGGAGUCACAGUUUUGCCAAGAGGAGCAUCUAUAAGCCAAGAGGAGGCAGAGUUAUUAGUGCAGUCCCUACACAGACUCAGCUUUGUGACUCUGCCUUGCAACAAAAGAUCUUGCACUACUUUUGUAAAAAAGGAUGUUACUGCUUAUCUCCUGUGAGGACAGCCUACUCACAGAUAGAGAGAAUGGAAAGUUCUGUCUCAGUAAUUUGUUCUGCACUAUCCAUUAGGAAACUGGACUAAGGAGGUUUUAGCUCAAAGUUUCUGAUUUUGUUCACCAGCCUCACCCCGGUAAUUUGCUCUGAUUUUAUUAUCCUUGAUGAGAAAUAAAAAGAAAUGAAAGAAGAAAAAGAUGUCAAAAGACUAUUGCCAGUCAGGUGGGACCUGUGUGAUUCUCAGCAGUUCCACUGUGCGGUACAUUUCAGUCUGUGGUUGUUGCCCCUGUGAGUACCUUCCAGAGUCCACAAAAGAAUGGAAGUCAAUAGAUUUAGUCCCUCUGUGCAGGACCUGCCUCUCCAUUAGCAGUCCACAAAUCAGAAGAGGUUGAAAUUGCCUGCUGGAGUGCAAUUCUACUCACACAGAAUAAAGGGAGAUAAAAAUACA